rnacentral:rRNA from 1 species
GGGGGGAGAGCCGGCGGGGGGCGACAUAUCAAUAAGCGGAGGAGCAUAUCAAUAAGCGGAGGAGCAUAUCAAUAAGCGGAGGAGCAUCUUUCUAAGCACUCGACCCAGCCGGACGCGGACUGGACCAGCGGCCGCCGGGGACCAUCAAACUCUUGUAUUAUCAGCAUCUUCUGAAUACGCCGCAAGGCAAAACAAAUAAAUUAAAACUUUCAACAACGGAUCUCUUGGCUCUGGCAUCGAUGAAGAACGCAGCGAAAUGCGAUAAGUAAUGUGAAUUGCAGAAUCCAGUGAAUCAUCGAAUCUUUGAACGCACAUUGCGCCCGCCAGCAUUCUGGCGGGCAUGCCUGUUCGAGCGUCAUUUCAACCCUCGACCUCCCUUUGGGGAAGUCGGCGUUGGGGACCGGCAGCACACCGCCGGCCCUGAAAUGGAGUGGCGGCCCGUCCGCGGCGACCUCUGCGUAGUAAACCAACUCGCACCGGAACCCCGACGUGGCCACGCCGUAAAACACCCAACUUCUGAACGUUGACCUCGAAUCAGGUAGGACUACCCGCUGAACUUAAUCAUAUCAAUAAGUUGGAGGAAAA